CGACCCCACCCCUGAGCCGCUUGCAUUCAGUUCCUCCAGAAAGAUAGCUGCUGGUCACCAAAGCCUGCCGCUUAAUUGAAUUUGUCUUUGUCCCCUUGAUCUUCACGCUGACAAAAAUGUGGGGUGGGUGGGAUGUAUCCAGAAAAACCAGACCUGAAAAACACAGCCGAUCGCUAGGAGACGGAGCUGAGGAAAGAGAUACAAAGUGCACUUCACAAAAUGAAACUCACGGAUGCCAUUUGGAAGUUUGGGUGGUGUUUAUGCAUCAGUCCACAAAAUGAGAUUCUGAAAAUCCUUCUCCAUAAAGUGAAUUGUCUUUACCCCUGACGCUUCUCCUGAGACCUCUUAUUCGGUUAAAGCAACCCACCGGUUUGCCUGAAAGCUGUUGACACCGGGAAAUGUUAAGGGAUGCGGACAAUAGACCGUACGGAAUUGCAGUGAGGACGAGACGGCCUCGUGUAGAGUUUCCUCUUGCUGCUGUAAGAAACGGCCACGAAAUUAGUGACUUAAGACAGAAAAAAUGUAUUCUUUUAUGAUUCCGGAAGUCGGAGACCCCCAAGGGGCCUUACUGGGCUAAGGCCAAGGGGUUGGCAGAGCUGUGUCCCUCUGGAGGCUCUAGAGGAGAACCCACUUCCUUGGCUUUUCCUGCUUCUAGAGACCAAGUGCAUUCCUUGACUGGCGGCCCCUUCCUCUGUCUGCCUGCCCCCGCCCCCCGCUGCAACCCCUCUUGUCUCACACUCCUCUGCCACUGACCUCCGGCCUCCCUCUUACACUCGCAAGGACCCUGUGGUUACAGCGGACCCAUCGGGAUCAUCAAAGAUAAUCUCUCCAUUUAAAAAUCCUCAACCUGGGGCACCUGGGUGGCUCAGUCGGUUAGGCGUUUGACUCUUGAUUUCGGCUCAGGUCACGAUCUCACAGUUCGUGAGUUCAAGCCCCACGCGGGGCUCUGCCCUGAUGGCACGGAACCUGCUUGGGAUUCUGUCUCCCUCUUUCUCUGUCCCUGCCCUGCUUGCCGUGUGAAAGAAAUAAGAAUAAAUAGAUUUAAUAAUCAAUCAGUAAAAACAAGCAUUCAGAAAGAAAGCUUUCUUGAAGCAAAAUGAAUGAAUGAAUGAAUGAAUGAAUAAAUAAAUAAAAACCCUUCCCUUAAUCACAUCUGCAGCAUUUCUUCUGCCAUACAAGGUACCCUAGGCACGGGUUCCAGGAUUAGGUUGGGGACACCUUCAGGAGGCCAUUCUUCUGCUUCCCACGCCUAGUGAUGCAAAGAGCUAACCUUCAUUGAAAGCCGUCCACGCCUUGGGCCCUGAGCUCCAUGCUUUUAGGCAGAUGGUUUUAUUUUGUCACCACAGCUCCGGGAGAUGGACCUAGAAAGGUAGAAUUAUUUGCUCUAGGUCACCCAGCUGGGCAGCAGCACUGCAAAGAACUGAGACUCCUCAUUUCAUUCCGGAGCCCUCCUUCGUAACCACCAGUGACAAAUGGCAAACCCACAGGCCUCACUUCAGGCGGGUGGAGAGUCUGCGGUAAACGGGGAGGCCUCGCGCUGUCUGACGGGGGCAGUGGUUCCAUAACCCCAGCCCAGAGGCGCCAGUUUUCCAACAGACGCCGUACGUUGGGUUAUUCGUGUGAAACGUCCCCAGUUGGAAAUGCCAGAAACCAACCCAAAUAUUAAAAAAGAAAAAAGAAAAAAACGUGGUGCAGCCACGUAAUACAGGCAGAUGGGUUCAUCUUGCUGUACACGACCAAUGGAAGCUAUCUUCAAUACUAUACUAUUUUUAAAAAAAUAUUUGAAGCUAUGUGACUCAUCAUAAUGGUUAACAGUUAUGUGGCAUUUAUUGUAUGUCUGGCAUGCUGUCACAGGCUCUGCUGUCUUAUCUUAUUCACUAGGACGUUCUUUUUUUUUUUUUUAAAUAAUUUAUUUUUUAAUUGACA